AGCGAUGACACAUUUUUUGCUUAAUCGAAAAGAUCACCCAGCCUAAGUUACCCACUGAAGCUAAGCAGGGUUGAGCCUGGCCAGUACCUGGAUGUGAAACCACAUGGGAAAACUAGAUUGCUGUCGUUA
rnacentral:rRNA from 1 species